UACGUAGGGGGCAAGCGUUAUCCGGAUUUACUGGGUGUAAAGGGAGCGUAGACGGCGUAGCAAGUCUGGAGUGAAAGCCCAAAGCUCAACUAUGGGACUGCUCUGGAAACUGUUAAGCUGGAGUGCGGGAGGGGUAAGCGGAAUUCCUAGUGUAGCGGUGAAAUGCGUAGAUAUUAGGAGGAACACCGGCGGCGAAGGCGGCUUACUGGACCGUAACUGACGUGAGGCUCGAAAGCGUGGGGAGCAAACAGG
rnacentral:rRNA from 1 species